GACGAACGCUGGCGGCGUGCUUAACACAUGCAAGUCGAACGGAAAGGCCCUGCUUUUGUGGGGUGCUCGAGUGGCGAACGGGUGAGUAACACGUGAGUAACCUGCCCUUGACUUUGGGAUAACUUCAGGAAACUGGGGCUAAUACCGGAUAGGAGCUCCUGCUGCAUGGUGGGGGUUGGAAAGUUUCGGCGGUUGGGAUGGACGCGCGGCUUAUCAGGCUGUUGGUGGGGUAGUGGCUUACCAAGGCUUUGACGGGUAGCCGGCCUGAGAGGGUGACCGGCCACAUUGGGACUGAGAGACGGCCCAGACUCCUACGGGAGGCAGCAGUGGGGAGUAUUGCACAAUGGGCGGAAGCCUGAUGCAGCAACGCCGCGUGCGGGAUGACGGCCUUCGGGUUGUAAACCGCUUUCGCCUGUGACGAAGCGUGAGUGACGGUAAUGGGUAAAGAAGCACCGGCUAACUACGUG
rnacentral:rRNA from 1 species